GACGUAGGGCGCGAGCGUUGUCCGGAUUUAUUGGGCGUAAAGAGCUUGUAGGCGGUUUGUCGCGUCUGCUGUGAAAUUUCGGGGCUCAACCCCGAACUUGCAGUGGGUACGGGCAGACUAGAGUGUGGUAGGGGAGACUGGAAUUCCUGGUGUAGCGGUGAAAUGCGCAGAUAUCAGGAGGAACACCGAUGGCGAAGGCAGGUCUCUGGGCCUUACCUGACGCUCAGGUGCGAAAGCUAGGGGAGCGAACAGG
rnacentral:rRNA from 1 species